UAUAUAUAUAUAUAUAUAUAUAUAUUCGGAGCACACGCACCACGAUGUACGAACCAGGCUAGCACUAAGGUUGAAUUUCACAACACAAUUUCCAUUACAUGUUCAGUAAUCAAACACAGAUCAUUUGCGGCUUCCUUAAGGUGCAGACGUGGGCUUUCGGGUCGGUGCUAGUUGCUGCGUUUGGUGCACGAAUAUGACAAGGAGAAGGCACUGCUUAUGCGCAAUCAC
rnacentral:lncRNA from 1 species